CGAGAUUCCAGCGGACGGUAGGAAUUUCGAUACCGGAGUCUAGCCGGGUAUUACAUUCUCCCCCUCUUAAGAACAUUCGUCCCCGAAUGUUCCUCAACUAGCACAUAGCAUGGCAUACACAUGUCAUACAUACAAAGCACAUAAAACACAUAAGAGACUAACCUUAGAAAAGAUGAGGGUAUUGCUGGAGCAUGGACUCCCGUGUCUCCCAAGUGCAUUU
rnacentral:lncRNA from 1 species